CCACAACACAUGGGAAUUCAAGAUGAGAUUUGGGUGGGGACACAGCCAAAUCAUGUCAUGUGAAUUAGGAAGAAAUAUAAACCAGCAUAUCAAACAAACCUAGGGUUUCACAAAUAUUGCUUAGGAUGAGGUGAGGUUAAAAAAAAAAAAAGUGAGUUGAUCAUAAACUGAUCUAAAAAAAUAGUACAAGUAGUAUUAUGACGCAGUGCCGCUAUCAAAGUAGUAUAGAAAUGACCGAAGUUUGGGAAAAACUGUUUUGGACUGUCCUCAUAUCAUGGAGGAAAGACUGGUUAAAGAUGGGGCAGUGUCAGAAGAAAAAUAAGUUUUAGGCCGGAGGUAAUUUUAAACAUUUUCUUGCCUUACCAGCGGAUGGCUUCCUUGUGCUUAAAGAACUUAAACAGUUGAGAAUUAAAUUUUGCCCAUUAUUUUUCCCCCCCCUUUCUCUGUGCAACCUCUCUGCCCCUUAAUAAAUGUUUUUGGUACUGACUACUGCUGCUCCUGCUAAUACCAUCCUGUAGAAAUUUUUCUUGAGUGAGGAAUAGUUUUUAGAAGGCUUUUAUGAUGAUAACUUUUAAAUUUAUUUUUAACUAUGCCAGCAGGUUAUUAGAUAUAUAGGUUCAAAGGAGAUUGAGGCUGGAGUCUGUUCAAACAUUUUCAGAGGUGAAGAUGACACAGGGUUCAUGGAGAUUUCCUUCAUGGUACCAGAACAGGGCAGGGUUUCACUGCAUGAUAAUACCCAUGUUUCCAUUGCUUGUAGACCUAAUCAUUUUUACUUAUUGAUUGGCACUGUGGGCCAAGAUCGUGACAUCCAUCCUAAUAAGCAGGUCUCAUCAAAAGCCUUAGAAUGGAGAAAAUUUUAAUAAUGCUUUAUUAGUUGGUUAAGUAAGCCCUGAUGUUUGGCUUUCUAGUGACCGGUCAUUGCCCUGCAGACUCUGUAAUGGGACAGUUUGGCUGGGUGUAGGGGGUCAUGCCAGGCUGAGGUGGGAGGAUUACUGUAGGCCAGGAGUUUUGAGACUAGCCUAGGCAACAUAGACCGCCCCCCAUCCCUAUAAAUAUUUAACAAUUAGCUGAGCAUAAUGGUGUGUGUGCUUGUAGUCUUAGCUGCUGAGGAGGCUGAGGUGAGAGGAUCACUUCAGCUCAAGAGCUUGAGGUUACAGUGAGCUAUAUGAUUGCACCAGUGAACUCCAGCCUGGGCAACACAGUGAGACCCUGUCUCAAAACAAAAACAAAAACAAAAACAGGUAGGGAGAGACAAGGAGAAGGGUAGUACUGACAUGGCCUGUCUUUACUUUCCCCUCUCAGCCCUGGAACUCUCCACAGGGAAAGGUUUUUUGUUCCUUCUUCUUGUCUAAUAAAUGGCUUGACUUGAGGGGUAUCUUGGAGGCAUUCUCAACCCAACCCUGAAGGUUUAUCAGCACUUUCCUGGUGGACAGCACCUCAGCCUCUGCCCUGGCUCCUUUCAUCCUCAUCCCCUAGAGCCAGGAUCCCAGCAUUUACAAAUUAAGAUGUUUCUCCCACAUUAAUUAAUUCAGAAUUUAUUAGAAACAUACUGCAGACACAAAGGUCAAGUACACGACGGCUUCUUCAGAGCUGAAGAGUCUGCAGCUGUUUACGAUUAUAUCAGAGGAGGAGAUGUAAUCAAAGAUUGUACUAUACAAUUAUUAAAAGUUACAGAAUUUGUUACUGUUUAUCAUUCCCUUUCCCCUUUCAGAGGACAUUUUCACAGAGAUUCAUGAAAUAAAAGUUUGGUUAAUGACAGAAGUGGGAAACCUUAGUAGGAUGGAAGAAAAGAAAGAAAGACUGAGGCUUUUGUGCCAUGGUAAGAUGGUAAAACAAUAAAAAUAACAUCUGCAUUUUAUUGAGAACAUACUCUGUGUGUACAGGCACUGUGUUUAAGCCGUUUCCAUGCAACAAGCUUAAUAGUUGGAGAAUCUUGCUCAUAAGCACCUACCCUGCACAGCCAGAACCACUAUGGAUAACUUCUACAAACAUCUCCUGAGAUUUUUGAGAAUUCCUGUUUGCAAAGUCUGCUGAAGUUGUUCCCAUAAACUGCAAUAAAGUGUAACUUCACGAGAAUUACUGUAUGUAUCCCUUGAGUGGUGAGUGAUGGACUACAGUGAGAAGUGGAUUCUAGGGUGUUGGAUUCACAUUUGUGGCUAACCAAGAUUACAAAUUCAUGCAUGUUCUGGAAUUUCAGGGGCAUUGCUAAAUGCACAGAGUCAGGGGCCUGCUGGAUGUGUUUUUAGUGGCAAUAAGUAUUACCCAGUCUUUUCUGCUGCUGUAAGCUUUCAGAUAGAGACUUGAGAGCAAAAAGGUCAGCUUACCCUUUGUAGUUGGAACUCAGUUCCUGUAGAAUUUCUUUGGAAACAUGUGUUUCUAAUAUGUCAGAAUUGGUUUAGCUUAAGCUAAAAAGAAAAUUAUAGCCUGAUUUGUUUAAAGGAACAAAAAUGUCUACAUGCCACAGUUUGGAUGCACAGAGCAUGGUUCAAUGCUCAGUAGACUUUUAUGCUUUUUAUUACUCGGAUUUUUAUUUCUCUAUCAGUGUGCUAGAUAAAAAGUAAAGUUUUAUGGGUAGUAUUCUAGUUCUACAUAGAAGUUUUAUUUCUCAUAUAGUUUUUUCUUAUAUGUAAAAUUACAUGUUAUGAGCUACUUUAAUAUUAACAAGUAACCUCAGUAAAAUACUAAAGUGACUGUUAUGGGAUAAAUAACGAAACUUAGGAAACUUAGGAUCAUUUGUUUUGAAAUACAUAAUACUGGAAUUACUGAAUUUUUCCCUCUAGAGUUUUAAAAUUCCCAUUGCCAGUGGAGUGGGGGUGGGGAUGUGUGCACGUGUGUAUUGUUAUUUUUGUUCCUGAGAUUGGGCUAUAAUGUAAGCAUGAAAAUUGCCCCCCCCCCACUCCAUGAAUAAAUUGCCUUUAUAUCUUAUCUUACUAAUGAUAUGCAUUUACACAUAAUGCCUUGUGAUAGAAUUAAUUCUAAAGGAAAUUGUUAACUAGAUGAGAUUUUUCAGACACUGCCUAUUAGGCAGGUUUUAAUAGGAACUCCCACUGGUGGCUUAACUAUUUUGCUUGUGUGCUAUCAUCUACUUUAAAUCCCAUAGAUUUUUCCAUCAGCCUUGAAAACAAAGGUUAAACUAUUUUUGGGUCUUCACAUCCUGGUUUUGCAGGGAGACGGGAGGUAUGGAGGCAUUGCCCAUUUCAUAAAGCUGUAUGUUUUUGAACUACGCACAUGGUGCUUUGCACGAAUCAAAACUGCCAAAGGGACAGAUGUUGCCAAUUUCAAAUGUACAGGGGGAAGGCAAAUAUUGCUAAGCAACGGUGUACUUGAGAGAGCAUUUUUAGGAGCAGAGCCAGGGGAGUUAUGCCUGGGAGCACUCACUGCUUCUUAUGGCUCAGUACAAGGGAAGAGAUUCAAAGUUCUUUCCUGUAAGGGCCGCCAUUGCAGCCGCCAGCACACGAGACAGUGACCUAGUGGCACCGAUUAGGGCUGGCAAGGGGAUGUGUGAAAACAGGAAAGCUUUUUUGCCAUGUGGGAAGGCAGUAAGACAUGUUCACAGAGGUGAGUGCCCCACAGUGUACAGCUGCCCCACAGUAAGUAUGCAGCAGCUGGAGGUUCAGGUGGGGAGGAUGGAGGGUAGGGAAAUAAGUGAGAGGUGAGGCCACAAGAGAAAGUUGAUGUGUCUUGUUUCUCUUCCCCCUUCUCUUCUUUUCUUUUGCCCCCCUGUGUUAGGGGCUAACAUGGAAGAAGAGAAGGAUCAAAAUGACCUCUGUGGUUUAGUGCAUGACCUUAUAAACAAGGAGACAGAAAACCAACACCUACUCCAGAAGAGGCUGUUGAGAUUACUGCUGGAAUAAGCCCAGGAUAAAAUCUUUAUGUCCUUUCAGACAAAGCGUGGAUUAAAUAGUUUAUCUGACUCA
rnacentral:lncRNA from 1 species